AAUGCAACGGUGAGAUGGAAAGAUUAAAAGUACGAACUCAAGAAAAAGAAAGAAAGAUUGGAAUUGGCGGAAUUGGAACUGCACAAAUCCCUGGAAGAUUGGGGAAAAGAGCGUAUUGUUGGAGACGAAGCAGGAUGGACACUAAAUUUCGAUUACCAAAAGCUUGGGCUUAUGGCAAGAAAUUUCAGAAUAGGGGACACACUUAGUGCAUUCAUUUGCAGGGUAUUAUAAAUAUGGUAUCACUAAAGGCACCAGCUCCUCCGAGCAUAGCAUCUGCUGCUCCCGUCACUUAUGGGAAAGAAUUUAUUGUUAGAGAUGAAGCAGGGUGGUUAAUUUUACAUAAAAAAAAAAAAAAAUCAAAAUUAGCCAUAUCAUUCCUUUUGCAAUUUGCGUUUGUUGUAUGGAUGUUAAACUAUACGAUCUCUCCCUUUACCAAAACCACAUUGGAAUAUAAUAAUUAUAAAGCAAGCAAGCAAGAGCUAACUGAAAAGGCAAGUUAAAUGGCUUCUAAUCAGCUGUUUGUUGGCUUUGCUAUGGUUGCAAUUAUUCUUCCGACAGUGGCCAUGGCAACUGAUUUUGUUGUUGGGGAUGAUCAAGGCUGGAAACUCGGUGUUAACUACACCGAAUGGGCUAAUGGCAAAGUAUUUCAUGUUGGUGACACAUUAGUCUUCAAAUACGAAGCACAGAGUGGAUGGAGAUGACUUCGAGGAAUGCGAGCCAUCAGGAAAAGUUCUGAAACAUUUGUGGUUUCUCUGAUCACUGUGAGAAAGGCGAGAAGCUUGUCAUCAACGUUCAAUCUGAUGCUCCUGCCAGUGGUUCCUACAAAUUUCUGUCAUCUCGGUGGCGUAUUUUGGUCGCAGUUAUGGUGGUCAUAGCAAUGAUUACACUUUAAGCACCCUAAUAUUCAUUUAUAAUUAAUAAGAGUAUUUUGCACCUCAGAUAUUAAUAGGUUGUAAGUGCAGACCAGCUUCUUAUGCUGGCUUUAUAUUUUUAAAUUUUAGAUAAUUUUGUCUUGCGAUAUUCUUGGAUGGUAAUUUGUCAAUUGCUAUUAUUAUUAUUAUUCAAUAGACCUUUAUUAGUAUUAA